UACAGAGGUCUCAAGCGUUGUUCGGAUUCAUUGGGCGUAAAGGGUGCGUAGGCGGCGCGGUAAGUCGGGUGUGAAAUCUCGGAGCUUAACUCCGAAACUGCAUUCGAUACUGCCGUGCUUGAGGACUGGAGAGGAGACUGGAAUUCCUGGUGUAGCGGUGAAAUGCGCAGAUAUCAGGAAGAACACCUAUGGCGAAGGCAGCACUCUGGGACGGUACUGACGCUGAGACGCGAAAGCGUGGGGAGCGAACAGG
rnacentral:rRNA from 1 species